rnacentral:rRNA from 1 species
UACGUAGGGCGCAAGCGUUGUCCGGAUUCACUGGGUGUAAAGGGCUCGUAGGCGGCCAACUAAGUCAGACGUGAAAUCCCUCGGCUUAACCGGGGAACUGCGUCUGAUACUGGAUGGCUUGAGUUUGGGAGAGGGAUGCGGAAUUCCAGGUGUAGCGGUGAAAUGCGUAGAUAUCUGGAGGAACACCGGUGGCGAAGGCGGCAUCCUGGACCAACACUGACGCUGAGGAGCGAAAGCCAGAGGAGCAAACGGG